rnacentral:misc_RNA from 1 species
GGCCCUGGUCCUCCCGCAACACUAACUCGUGAACUCGGUCAGGCCUGGAAGGGAGCAGCCGCAGCGGGCGACGUGUGUGCCGGGAUGUGGCUGGGGCUUCCACCCAACUGAUGCUUGCAAAAUCACUCAUAUUUAUACCCCCUCUAAUAUACUAAAUCCCUUAAAGCACUAAAUUCUAAUAGACCUAACUCUUUAAUC